CUGCCUCAGCCUCCCAAAGUGCUGGGAUUACAGGAGUGAGCCACCGUGCCCAGCCCCUGGUCAUUUUUCAAAGGGCAUAUGUAUGGUCUUCCCUGAAGGUCUCUAGAAGAAACUGUCAGUGCCGGUGAAGAAAACGUGGGCCACCAGCAGGCUGGGAAUGUGAAGCAGCAGGAAAAAUCGCAGCCCUCAGAGAGUCGCUGGCUGAAGUAUCUAGAAAAGGACUCCCAAGAACUGGAGCUGGAAGGAAGAGGAGUGUGUUUCAGCAAACAGCCUUCAUCCAAAAUGGAGGAGCCAGGCCCCCACUUCAGUCAAGACCUGCCUAGAGAAAGGAAGUGGAGCCAGAGCACCGUCCAGCCUCCAUGCAGCCUUGGUGUCCAGGACUCAGGUGGCUCUGAGGUCACCUGGGAACCCCAGAAGGUCAGUGACAGAGAACAGUUUCUCUCUGGUCCCAGUGACCACUGAGUAUGUGUGGGAUAAUUUUGUCUUUUGUCACAGUUGACGAAGUGUGCGAUUCCUACCCGCAGAAAGCCCAUCUUCCCAGCUGGGUUUCUUGUCUUUUCUGUCUGAAGCCAGCUCCUUCCUCGGGUCUGUACCCCCUUUUUCCCUCCCAUGCCUCUCGUCUCCCAUGAGGGUAACUCAGGACCAAAGAGCAUUGUGACCGUUGGAGCAACUGAGGUUGGCCAGCAGGUCAACCUGACGAUGG
rnacentral:sRNA from 1 species